GGCCAAGUGUGGCAUAGUGGUUUGAGCAUUGGACUACAACUCUGGAGACCAAGGUUCAAAUCCCUGCUCAGCCA